GAUGAACGCUGGCGGCGUGCCUAAUACAUGCAAGUCGAGCGAACGGACGAGAAGCUUGCUUCUCUGAUGUUAGCGGCGGACGGGUGAGUAACACGUGGAUAACCUACCUAUAAGACUGGGAUAACUUCGGGAAACCGGAGCUAAUACCGGAUAUUAUUUUGAACCGCAUGGUUCAAAAGUGAAAGACGGUCUUGCUGUCACUUAUAGAUUGAUCCGCGCUGCAUUAGCUAGUUGGUAAGGUAACGGCUUACCAAGGCAACGAUGCAUAGCCGACCUGAGAGGGUGAUCGGCCACACUGGAACUGAGACACGGUCCAGACUCCUAGGGGAGGCAGCAGUAGGGAAUCUUCCGCAAUGGGCGAAAGCCUGACGGAGCAACGCCGCGUGAGUGAUGAAGGUCUUCGGAUCGUAAAACUCUGUUAUUAGGGAAGAACAUAUGUGUAAGUAACUGUGCACAUCUUGACGGUACCUAAUCAGAAAGCCACGGCUAACUACGUG
rnacentral:rRNA from 1 species